rfam:Cryptococcus neoformans var. neoformans JEC21 chromosome 14, complete sequence.
UGCCCCGUGGCUGAGUUGGUUACAGCGGUUGACUGUUAGUUAAUAAUUAAUUAACACUAAUAAUCAGACGGUCGAGAGUUCGAGUCUCUCCGGGGCAG